UUUGAUAGAUCUGUGAAGUCGUCUCUCAAGUCGUUAGACUUGGUUUGCUGGGAUGUAAACGUCUCGGUGUGACUACGCAGUCUAUUUACUUAUAACACCCCAAAUGUAUGUCUACGAAUGUCAUUUAAAGGGCCUUGUGCCUAUAAACCAUAAUACAACUUUCAACAACGGAUCUCUUGGCUCUCGCAUCGAUGAAGAACGCAGCGAAAUGCGAUAAGUAAUGUGAAUUGCAGAAUUCAGUGAAUCAUCGAAUCUUUGAACGCACCUUGCGCCCCUUGGUAUUCCGAGGGGCAUGCCUGUUUGAGUGUCAUUAAAUUCUCAAACUCACUCUGGUUUUUCCAAUUGUGAUGUUUGGAUUGUUGGGGGCUGCUGGCCUUGACAGGUCGGCUCCUCUUAAAUGCAUUAGCAGGACUUCUCAUUGCCUCUGCGCAUGAUGUGAUAACUAUCACUCAUCAAUAGCACGCAUGAAUAGA
rnacentral:rRNA from 1 species